CGGUCUUGGCCUCGUAUAUAGUAGGUCUAUAAUCAGCUCUAAUAUACUUCUGAGUGUUUCUCAACGAAGCUAGCAUGCUAGGUGGCUAACAGCUAGGCUAACCGUUAGCCUAGGCUAACACCUAAAUGGUGGCCCCAUUGUUCUCAACGAGCUAGCAUGCUAGGUGGCUAACAGCUAGGCUAACCGUUAGCCUAGGCUAACACCUAAAUGGUGGCCCCAUUGUUCUCAACGAGCUAGCAUGCUAGGUGGCUAACAGCUAGGCUAACCGUUAGCCUAGGCUAACACCUAAAUGGUGGCCCCAUUGUUCUCAACGAGCUAGCAUGCUAGGUGGCUAACAGC